GGGUCAGUAGGUUGGUCGUGCCACCGGUACGUACUGGUCUAACUAAUUCCUCCUUCCUGAAGAACCGUAAUGCCAUUAAUUUGGUGUUGCGGGGAAACAGGACUGUUACUUUGAAAAAAUUAGAGUGUUUAAAGCAAGCUAACGCUUGAAUACAUUAGCAUGGAAUAAUGAAAUAGGACGAUCGAUCCUAUUUUGUUGGUUUCUAGGAUUGACGUA
rnacentral:rRNA from 1 species